AUUGAACGCUGGCGGCAGGCCUAACACAUGCAAGUCGAGCGAGCGGCGGACGGGUGAGUAAUGUCUGGGAAACUGCCUGAUGGAGGGGGAUAACUACUGGAAACGGUAGCUAAUACCGCAUACCAUCAGAUGUGCCCAGAUGGUAUUAACUGGUGGGUGGGGUAACGGCUAACCUAGGCGACGACCCCUAGCUGGUCUGAGAGGAUGACCAGCAACACUGGAACGAAGACACGGUCCAGACUCCUACGGGAGGCAGCAGUGGGGAAUAUUGCACAAUGGGCGCAAGCCAGAAGCAGCCAUGCCGCGUGUGUGAAGAAGGCCUGCGGGUUGUAAAGUACUUUCAGCGGGGAGGCGUUACCCGCAGAAGAAGCACCGGCUAACUCCGUGCCAGCAGCCGCGGUAAUAC
rnacentral:rRNA from 1 species